GACGAACGCUGGCGGCGUGCCUAAUACAUGCAAGUCGAGCGAAGCGGCGGAUGGGUGAGUAACGCGUGGGUAACCUGCCCUUAAGUCUGGGAUACCAUUUGGAAACAGAUGCUAAUACCGGAUACUAAAGGAUGGAUCUGCGAUGCAUUAGCUAGUUGGUAAGGUAACGGCUUACCAAGGCGAUGAUGCAUAGCCGGGUGGAGAGGCGGAUCGGGCACAUUGGGACUGAGACACGGCCCAGACUAAUACGGGAGGCAGCAGAAGGGAAUGUUCCACAAUGGACGAAAGGCUGAUGGAGCAACGCCGAGUGGGGGAAGAAGGUUUUCGGAUCGUAAAGCUCUGUUGUUGGUGAAGCGGUAAUCAACCAAAAAGUCACGGCUAACUACGUGCCAGCAGCCGCGGUAAUUC
rnacentral:rRNA from 1 species